ensembl:lncRNA
GCUGUACCGGAGUGUGCAGGUUCAGGGUUUAUUGCUCAGCCUGCCGCUGUUACCUGGAUCCUACGACCUGGUCCCGUCUCUUCUAUGAGACGCAUCAGGGGUCUAAAGCAGUCGGGCCCACCCUGCUCCACUGACACGACUCCCUCCACACUCCACUUCCGUCCCCGGUGGACAAUGUCCCAGCAGCAUCGGGUCCGACCUCUGUCUCCACGGGUUCAGCCUCGUGUACCAGAGCACGCCGACGGCCUCCAGCCCAGAGACACCAGG